rnacentral:misc_RNA from 1 species
UCCGAGUUGACCCCGGCGGUCUCCUGUGAGUCCCCAUCACCCCGAAGGGCAUGCUGGCAACACAGAACAAGGGUUGCGCUCGUUGCGGGACUUAACCCAACAUCUCACGACACGAGCUGACGACAGCCAUGCACCACCUGUGCACAGGCCCCGAAGGGCUGCCGUGUUUCCACGACAUUCCUGCGCAUGUCAAGCCCUGGUAAGGUUCUUCGCGUCGCAUCGAAUUAAACAACAUGCUCCGCUGCUUGUGCGGGUCCCCGUCAAUUCCUUUGAGUUUUAGCCUUGCGGCCGUACUCCCCAGGCGGGGUGCUUAACGCGUUAGCUACGGCGCUGCCGGGGUCAAUACCAGCAACAUCUAGCACCCAUCGUUUACGGCGUGGACUAC